CCUACGGGAGGCAGCAGUGGGGAAUAUUGCACAAUGGGCGCAAGCCUGAUGCAGCCAUGCCGCGUGUGUGAAGAAGGCCUUCGGGUUGUAAAGCACUUUCAGCGGGGAGGAAGGCGGUGAGGUUAAUAACCUCAUCGAUUGACGUUACCCGCAGAAGAAGCACCGGCUAACUCCGUGCCAGCAGCCGCGGUAAUACGGAGGGUGCAAGCGUUAAUCGGAAUUACUGGGCGUAAAGCGCACGCAGGCGGUCUGUCAAGUCGGAUGUGAAAUCCCCGGGCUCAACCUGGGAACUGCAUUCGAAACUGGCAGGCUAGAGUCUUGUAGAGGGGGGUAGAAUUCCAGGUGUAGCGGUGAAAUGCGUAGAGAUCUGAAGGAAUACCGGUGGCGAAGGCGGCCCCCUGGACAAAGACUGACGCUCAGGUGCGAAAGCGUGGGGAGCAAACAGGAUUAGAUACCCCUGUAGUC
rnacentral:rRNA from 1 species